rnacentral:rRNA from 1 species
CCUACGGGCGGCAGCAGUGGGGGAUAUUGCACAAUGGGGGGAACCCUGAUGCAGCGACGCCGCGUGGGUGAAGGAGUGCUUCGGCAUGUAAAGCCCUAUCGGCAGGGAAGAAGCAAGACGGUACCUGACUAAGAAGCCCCGGCUAACUACGUGCCAGCAGCCGCGGUAAUACGUAGGGGGCAAGCGUUAUCCGGAUUUACUGGGUGUAAAGGGAGCGUAGACGGCAAGGCAAGCCAGAAGUGAAAGGGCAGGGCUCAACCCUGUACAUGCUUUUGGAACUGUGGUGCUAGAGUGCAGGAGAGGUAAGUGGAAUUCCUAGUGUAGCGGUGAAAUGCGUAGAUAUUAGGAGGAACACCAGUGGCGAAGGCGGCUUACUGGACUGUAACUGACGUUGAGGCUCGAAAGCGUGGGGAGCAAACAGGAUUAGAUACCCGAGUAGUC